UACGUAGGGUGCAAGCGUUGUCCGGAAUUAUUGGGCGUAAAGAGCUCGUAGGCGGUCUGUCGCGUCGAAUGUGAAAACCCGGGGCUCAACCCCGGGCCUGCAUUCGAUACGGGCAGACUAGAGUUCGGUAGGGGAGUCUGGAAUUCCUGGUGUAGCGGUGAAAUGCGCAGAUAUCAGGAAGAACACCGGUGGCGAAGGCGGGACUCUGGGCCGAUACUGACGCUGAGGAGCGAAAGCGUGGGGAGCGAACAGG
rnacentral:rRNA from 1 species